rnacentral:pre_miRNA from 1 species
UCUUAGGGAUAAGCAGAGAAAGUGGUUUCUUGAGAUGGAAUCUACUCCUGGUGAUGAAGCUGCGAA